rnacentral:rRNA from 1 species
UACGGGGGGGGCAAGCGUUGUUCGGAAUUACUGGGCGUAAAGCGCACGUAGGUGGCCUGUUAAGUCGGGUGUGAAAUCCCUGGGCUCAACCCAGGAAGUGCACUCGAAACUGGCAGGCUUGAGUACUGAAGAGGGUCGCGGAAUUCCCGGUGUAGAGGUGAAAUUCGUAGAUAUCGGGAGGAACACCAGUGGCGAAGGCGGCGACCUGGGCAGAUACUGACACUGAGGUGCGAAAGCGUGGGGAGCAAACAGG